rnacentral:rRNA from 1 species
UACAGAGGGUGCGAGCGUUAAUCGGAAUUACUGGGCGUAAAGCGCGCGUAGGCGGCUUUGCAAGUCGGGUGUGAAAUCCCCAGGCUUAACCUGGGAACUGCAUUCGAGACUGCAUUGCUAGAGUAUGGGAGAGGGAAGUGGAAUUUCCGGUGUAGCGGUGAAAUGCGUAGAUAUCGGAAGGAACAUCAGUGGCGAAGGCGGCUUGCCAGAACGCGCUCGACGGUGAGGGAUGAAAGCUGGGGGAGCAAACCGG